CUGUUCAUUGCACAAUCACAUAUACUAAAAGUGGAGCGAUACAGAGAAGAUUAGCAUGGCCCCUGUGCAAUGAGACAUGGUCUUACACCAAUACAGACACCUUUAAU